rnacentral:rRNA from 1 species
UACGUAGGGGGCAAGCGUUGUCCGGAAUUAUUGGCGUAAAGAGCGUGUAGGCGGCCUGAUAGGUCGGUUGUGAAAACUGGAGGCUUAACCUUCAGACGUCGGCCGAAACCAUCUGGCUAGAGUUCGGAAGAGGAGAGUGGAAUUCCUGGUGUAGCGGUGAAAUGCGCAGAUAUCAGGAAGAACACCCGUGGCUAAGGCGGCUCUCUAGUACGGUACUGACGCUGAGACGCGAAAGCGUGGGGAGCGAACAGG